rnacentral:rRNA from 1 species
CAGUCGAACGGCAGCGCGGACUUCGGUCUGGCGGCGAGUGGCGAACGGGUGAGUAAUGUAUCGGAACGUGCCCAGUAGCGGGGGAUAACUACUCGAAAGAGUAGCUAAUACCGCAUACGCCCUACGGGGGAAAGGGGGGGAUCGCAAGACCUCUCACUAUUGGAGCGGCCGAUAUCGGAUUAGCUAGUUGGUGAGGUAAAGGCUCACCAAGGCGACGAUCCGUAGCUGGUUUGAGAGGACGACCAGCCACACUGGGACUGAGACACGGCCCAGACUCCUACGGGAGGCAGCAGUGGGGAAUUUUGGACAAUGGGGGAAACCCUGAUCCAGCCAUUCCGCGUGUGCGAUGAAGGCCUUCGGGUUGUAAAGCACUUUUGGCAGGAAAGAAAUCGCAUGGAUUAAUACUCUGUGUGGAUGACGGUACCUGCAGAAUAAGCACCGGCUAACUACGUGCCAGCAGCCGCGGUAAUACGUAGGGUGCAAGCGUUAAUCGGAAUUACUGGGCGUAAAGCGUGCGCAGGCGGUUCGGAAAGAAAGGUGUGAAAUCCCAGGGCUUAACCUUGGAACUGCACUUUUAACUACCGAGCUAGAGUAUGUCAGAGGGGGGUGGAAUUCCGCGUGUAGCAGUGAAAUGCGUAGAUAUGCGGAGGAACACCGAUGGCGGAGGCAGCCCCCUGGGAUAAUACUGACGCUCAUGCACGAAAGCGUGGGGAGCAAACAGGAUUAGAUACCCUGUAGUCCACGCCCUAAACGAUGUCAACUAGCUGUUGGGGCCUUCGGGCCUUAGUAGCGCAGCUAACGCGUGAAGUUGACCGCCUGGGGAGUACGGUCGCAAGAUUAAAACUCAAGGAAUUGACGG